rnacentral:lncRNA from 1 species
CAAGAGUUCUCUUUUUCUCGAAACGUUCGUUCAGGGCGGUCCAUGCGGAAUUGAAACCCUCGUUAGUCAGCGGAGCUUUUUCCACAAUGACUUUGGCUUCACCGUAGACACCACCACAGAGGAUGGAGUAGCGACCAUUCUCUUGACCUCCGCAAGUCUUUGUCCCAGGGCGCGAAUAAUGCUGACUGGGGUUAGUUUGGAUUCGACUUUCGAUGAACCCAAAGGAUCUAUGGACAUAAUAAGCUAUCAGCGACGUGUAUGAGAGUGGAACGGUGGAAACGAAACGAAGAUUGUAUGAGAGCGAUAAUUUGAAAAAACGAUAGAUUUGUUUGCCCCCCGAACAAAUGUAUUUUUUAUUUAUUUUGUAUAUGUACUAAAAAAUCUAGAACGAUGGAAUGGAAAAUAUACCGUUCGAGUGAGAGAUUUAUGGAGUGUCAACAAUCAGUAAUUGGCACAAAGUUUUUUUUGGCAAAGCCCUCUUUCAUUUCGUAUUAUUAUU